rnacentral:lncRNA from 1 species
GAUUGGCCGGAGCGCCCGCCGCUCACGGUCAGGGGUUGCCGGAUCCCGUCCGCGGGCGAUGCUGCUGCGGAGGGUGGUCGAGGGAGGCCGGGCGGUAGCCGCCGCGGUCCGUGGCUCGGCAAGUACCAGGACGGGUCUUGGCAGCGCCGAAGGGCACGUCCGAGAGGCCGCUGUCCGGGGGCCCGCACGUACCGGGAGGAGCCCCGGCCCCUCCACCCGCAUGUGGGGACGGAGCCGGGAGGAUCGCGCGCUGGCCGCCGCCGAAGGACCCCUCGCUCCUCUCCUCCAUCGGCUCUUACCGAGUCCCCGCCCCGGAAUCUGUGGAGGGGCCGCUUAGCCUUGGGAGAGGAAGCAGCCCGGUGAACGGCCACUUUCCUGUUUCUCAGUAUCUGCCGAGCGCCUGUGUGCGAGCCCUCCUGGGCUCUGGGGACUGGCCGUGGACAUGGAGCGGAUGAUGCCCCUCGCAGGACUAGUUAAAUAAGUGAAGUUGGUAGCGUGUCAGUCCGUGAUCCUGGGUAGAUAGAGCAGGGCAGCGACGGAAGACUGCCUAUAGGACAUUCACGCUGGGAUGAGAGGGGCCUGAGAGGCCUGGGCUUUGUGACAGGGAAACUUGGAUAAAGGGUGGUGCGAUUCUUCCGGUUGGUCCCUCAGAGGUGGUGGGGCUUGGUUAUACUGGUAGAGGUGCUGGGCUGGCCAGGAGCUUACAGGGUUACACCUCUCGCAUACUGGUGUCCACAGAGCAGCCAUCUUAGCUGGAGGUGUCGAGUGCCUCCCCCACCCCCCACCAUGUGCUUGAGUGCACACCCGGCGCCAGGCCCUGAUCCUGGCACUUCUUGUGAAUCACACCGUGUCAUACCCAUGACUUCCAUUGCACAGUGGGGAAACUGAGUCUAGAGAGGUGAAAUAACAUGUCUAAAGUCACAGGAAGUGAAAAAGCUGAGGACAUGGAGCCAGUUGCCCAAUGACAGGAGAGCUGAAAUGUCCUCACUGCUGGGGGUAGACCGGGCCUCACCAGCUUCCUGGAGAGUCACAUGUUUGUCUGCAUCCUCAGGGGGCUCGCCGGUUCUCCAGCCCGGACUGCUGCCAGAGGCUUCCUGGAGGUGGCAGCUUUCUUCAAAGGCACCAUCCCGGAGCGCAAGCCCCUGAUGGGCGCAGAAAAUUCGGGACAGACCACGUAGAGGUGGGCUCCCAAGCAGGUGCGGACGGCACCAGGCCGCCCAAGGCAUCGCUGCCACCUGAGCUCCAGCCGCCCACAAACUGCUGCAUGAGUGGCUGCCCCAACUGCGUGUGGGUGGAGUACGCGGACAGGCUGCUGCAGCACUUCCAGGACGGUGGGGAGCGGGCCCUGGCUGCCCUGGAGGAGCACGUGGCUGAUGAGAACCUCAAGGCCUUCCUCAGGAUGGAGAUCCGGCUGCACACCAGGUGCGGAGGCUGAGCCAUCCCUGCUGGACUCCCUACCGCAGGACGGAGUCCAGGACGCAGCCGCAGCCUCCUUCCUUCACACCCCCUCACAGACUCCUUGUGUCCAACGGGAAUAGGAAGAAUUAGUUACUGACUUCACCUGAGAAAAAAAUAAAUUCUCUAUGGUGGUUUCACAGGA